AGUCCAAUGGGGGUUUUCCCACCCAGAGAGACGCCAUCCUAUCCAAGUUGUGCUGUGGUCACGUCACCGUAACAAACCUGUGAGUCUGGUGUGCUGUAAGGGCACUGAACUUGGUGGGCAUUUGGAAAACUGUAUUUGCAGCUGUUCCUGGGCCUACAUCAAAGACCCC
rnacentral:lncRNA from 1 species